AUGAGGUCACAAGCUGACCCUUUGUUCUCUGAGUAUCUCUUAAGGAUAGGCAAUGGAACCAAAGAAACGAUAGGUGAUGACUAUGUGCGUCUCCCUGAGGACAUUGUGAUCGGUCAUACUGAUGAUGAAACCGCAAUCAAUAGGCUAAUCAAAGAAGUUUUUCCCGCUCUUAGUGCCAAUGCUAAAUCGGGAGAGUACAUGAGCUCGCGUGCUAUUCUUUCCACAAAGAAUGACUAUGUUGAUGUGCUGAAUUCCAAGAUGUUUGACAUGUUUCCUGGCCAAGAGAAGGUAUACCAUAGCUUCGACUCUAUUGAGGAUGACUACUCGAACAAUUACUCGAUUGACUUUGUGAAUUCGCUCACCCCAAAUGGAUUGCCACCACAUGUGUUGAAAGUGAAGGUCAAUUGCCCCGUCAUUCUGCUACGGAACCUCGACCCUCACAAUGGCCUCUGCAAUGGAACAAGGCUAAUGAUUAGAGCCUUCCAAGAUAAUGCAAUUGAUGCAGAGAUUGUUGGUGGGCAACAUGUUGGGAAGAGGGUCUUUAUACCGAGGAUCCCUUUGUCACCAUCGGAGGACAUCUCACUUUCCUUCAAGCUUAAGAGGAAACAAUUCCCCAUCCGCCUAAGUUUUGCGAUGACCAUUAACAAGGCGCAGGGCUAG
rnacentral:rRNA from 1 species